rnacentral:rRNA from 1 species
UUUUAACGGCUGCGGUAUUUUGACCGUGCUAAGGUAGCAUAAUCAAUUGUUUUUUAAUUGAAAACUAGUAUGAACGGUUUAAUUUACUUAAUUAGUUUGUAAUUUUUAAUAGUAAGUUAAAUAUAAAGUAAGAAUUCUUUAAUAAAUUAGGGGACGAUAAGACCCUAAAAGCUUUAUGAUUGGCAUUUAAUUAGUGAUAGCGGUGUUAUUAAUUCACUGGGGCAGUGAGUUUAGGUAUAUUUAAGUAUAAUUAAAAGCUCCUUUAAAUAAAGAUUUCAUGUAUAAGUUACUUUAGGGAUAACAGUGCAAUAUAUUUGGGGAGACCAUAUCUAUAAAUAUGAUUGCAACCUCGAUGUUGAAUUAAAAUA